GUCCUUUUACCCGGCAGCCGCGCGCCGGUCGUGUUGUGUGUCUUGGGUUCUCUGUCUGCGGUGGUCCACUCCCAUCCUCCGCCAUACCCGGCCUUAGCCUGGCUGCCACGGGCGCCGCACCUGCCGGGGCUGCCUCUAGAGGCGGCGGGAUGUUGAGCACGGCAUGGAGGAUCCAGGCCUACUGGCCUAGUCGGGCCGAGAUCUGGAAGGCCGCGUGGUUCUCGGGCGCCGUGGAAGAAGCCGGACCCUGUAUGGGCCACGCCCUGCUCCUGCCGCGGCCCUCGCGGCCGUGUGCUCCGGUGUGACGGUUUCCAGAAUGUUCCAGUAGAUGAGUCCUGACGCACAGGAUUUAGGUGGCCCCAUUUUUUAACUGGCAGUGCCUGAUACUGAAGUAACUGAAAAUACCAGCUUGUUGCUGGAGCCGUGCUUUAGAAUAAGACCUGUUGCCAGUAAAGCUAUCUUCAUCUGUGUGGAUCUACAGAGUUGGGAGAGAAAAAGGCAAAUGAAGAGACAGGGGGCGCUUUCAGGUGGAAACAGCGGUUUUGUUUUGGUGAUGCUGCUACCUGGCAUAUAAAUGACCAAUAAAAGACUCACAGAUGGA